GCUGUAACAAGUGUUGCCAUGACACAAAUUGGAUAUAAUGCGAGUUAUACAUUGAGAAAUACUGUUGGCAUGGGCUUCACUGAACAGUUGAAGGAUGGGCAAUACAAGCAGCGAGCGGGCGGCGCUGGAGCGGCAGGGGGGACACAAGACCCCUCGAAGAGACAGCACCGGCAGCGGCAUUCACACCAAAGAGCACGACCGUCCGAAGAUUCUGAUGGACAGUCCUGAAGAUGCGGACAUCUUUCAUGCUGAGGAGAUCAAAGAUCUGGGCCCAAUGGAGAAGGAUGAGUUCCUUGCUUGGCAACAGGACCUGGAAGUGAAUAACAAGACUUCCAAGCAGGCUCGCCCGACGGUGUUCCGGUGGAAAGGGGGCGGGAAGGAAGUCUUUAUCUCCGGAUCCUUCAACGGUUGGACCAACAAAAUCCCACUCACCAGAAGUCAGAAUAACUUUGUGGCAAUUCUGGAUCUUCCUGAGGGUGAACAUCAGUACAAGUUCCAUGUGGAUGGUCACUGGACUCACGAUUCAUCAGAGCCCGUCACCACCAGCCAGCUGGGCACAAUCAACAACGUCAUCCAGGUGCGGCAGACUGACUUCGAGGUGUUUGAUGCCCUGAUGGUGGAUUCGCAGAAAUGCUCGGACAUGUCCGAUCUCUCGAGUUCCCCACUCGGACCCAUACCACCAGGAUCAUUUGUACAAACCGAGGAGGAGGAGAAGAUAAAACGCCGACGAUAUGCAACCGCACUCCUGCAGGUCAUCCUCAACAAGGACACGGGCAUUUCGUGGAUGUGACCCUGCAUUGCUACCGGAGCCAAACCACGUCAUGUUGAACCAUCUGUACGCUCUGUCCAUCAAGGAUGGUGUCAUGGUACUGAGCGCCACCCAUCGCUACAAGAAGAAAUAUGUCACCACCCUCCUCUACAAACCCAUAUGAUCUGCACAAAAGCCGCUCCAUUCCCCCCCAUCCGAUCAGGAAGCUUCAUUUUCAGCAGCAAGAACUCAUUUGCAGUCAUUGUCCUGGACUUGCUAAGAAGGAUCUUGAUGUGAUUGAGUGGAACAGCAACUGCAGGGGUCCCGGUGAAUCUGUCCCUGUAAAGCUGACGAUUUGUCCCCGCUUUCUGAUUCAAAAAAGGGAUAUCCACAAUCGACAGCCAGGUAAAGUGCCUCUGACUGUCCCUCAGACUGCCAAAGAGGCACCAAAACAAAUCCCCCGCCACAAAGUCAUUCCUUGCUAAGGCACGUCCAACCCCAUUCCAUUAGUGUACAGAUGUAUUUGCAUUGAGUUGAAGGGAGAGUGCUCAGUUUGUUUGUGACACAGACUGGAAUCGGUGUGUGUCAGAGAAUCACGGUGCUCCUCUCUUCCCCGCCUUCUUCUUCCACAAUUCUCACCAAGGAAACACUAUCGGGGGGGGGGGAAACCGAUAUAUAAAUGGAGCUCUGAUUAGAUUGGGGAAAUCCCCCGAUAAUGAAAAUAAGGGAUCAAAAA